AUGAAGUGGCAAACCAUUCCAGCAUCUUUGCCAAGAAGACCCCAUGGACAGUAUUGGUAUGAUAUGAUCCAUGAGGUCACAAUAAUUGGGUAUGACACAAUGACAUACCAAAAACAGCUUCCAACCUCACCAAAAAUACCUUGUCCUCCCACUAGCUAUGGUUCAGUACUUGAAAUUUCCUCCAGUUGCCAUUCUUCUGAUGAAGGGAAACCUCUGAGGCAAAGAUGAAGAUGGGCAGGCAUCGGGGCCAUACCCAUCAAUUACACUGCCCUCCACUCUCCAUCCCCACAGGAUGCUCUAAAUAGCCACCUGGAUCCACUGAAAGAACCUUCUUCGGUGAGCCAAAGAUAGGCCAAAGGGUAGAAAAUCCUACCAUACACCUCGGUCCUAAAAUGAUUGUUAUUAUUUUCUUUGUCCUGGCUACAGCCAUUAUUUUUGUCCCUGAAUAGACCUGUCAGCAUGGAAGCUACCGCACUCCCACUGUGGCUCUCUGUGACAUCUUCACUUCUCCUUAGCCUUCCACUCUUAAUGCCAGACUGGGAAGCCCCUGUUUACCUUGCCAAGUACCACAACCAUUUUGUCAAGAGAGGAAAUAAAAAAAAGUUACCUCCCA
rnacentral:lncRNA from 1 species